CUUGAAGACCCAAAAUCUGGAACUAUAGACAACGCUGAUGAGGAUGCCUUGACAAAAUUGUUUGGUAACCCAAAAUCUGGUCGUUUAAUCGGACAAGGAAGAGGCGUAACAAGGUCAAAGCUAACUAUUGUUAAUAUGUGUAAUAGCAAGAUCUCCAAGUUAGAAGAAGAGCAACAUAAUAUGAAGCUCAAAAUGACUGAAAUGAUGAAUCUACUUAAAGAACACUUGGUUGGUGGUAAAGUGACACCAAGCGAAGGACAGUCUCGCAAUGUACCGCAGUCAAACAAUAUUCAGUCCCCUAAGAGUAUUGCACUAGAAAAAAGACAUAACUUUAUAGAAGGGAAGAAUGCUUGCUACUUGCUUGA